rnacentral:rRNA from 1 species
UUAAGCGACUAAGCGUACACGGUGGAUGCCCUGGCAGUCAGAGGCGAUGAAGGGCGUGCUAAUCUGCGAUAAGCGCCGGUAAGGUGAUAUGAACCGUUAUAACCGGCGAUACCCGAAUGGGGAAACCCAGUGUGACUCGUCACACUAUCAUUAACUGAAUCCAUAGGUUAAUGAGGCGAACCGGGGGAACUGAAACAUCUAAGUACCCCGAGGAAAAGAAAUCAACCGAGAUUCCCCCAGUAGCGGCGAGCGAACGGGGAGGAGCCCAGAGCCUGAAUCAGCAUGUGUGUUAGUGGAAGCGUCUGGAAAGGCGCGCGAUACAGGGUGACAGCCCCGUACACAAAAGCGCAUGUGCUGUGAGCUCGAUGAGUAGGGCGGGACACGUGGUAUCCUGUCUGAAUAUGGGGGGACCAUCCUCCAAGGCUAAAUACUCCUGACUGACCGAUAGUGAACCAGUACCGUGAGGGAAAGGCGAAAAGAACCCCGGCGAGGGGAGUGAAAAAGAACCUGAAACCGUGUACGUACAAGCAGUGGGAGCACAGGUUUACCUGUGUGACUGCGUACCUUUUGUAUAAUGGGUCAGCGACUUAUAUUCUGUAGCAAGGUUAACCGAAUAGGGGAGCCGGAGGGAAACCGAGUCUUAAUUGGGCGUUAAGUUGCAGGGUAUAGACCCGAAACCCGGUGAUCUAGCCAUGGGCAGGUUGAAGGUUGGGUAACACUAACUGGAGGACCGAACCGACUAAUGUUGAAAAAUUAGCGGAUGACCUGUGGCUGGGGGUGAAAGGCCAAUCAAACCGGGAGAUAGCUGGUUCUCCCCGAAAGCUAUUUAGGUAGCGCCUCGUGAACUCAUCUCCGGGGGUAGAGCACUGUUUCGGCUAGGGGGCCAUCCCGGCUUACCAACCCGAUGCAAACUGCGAAUACCGGAGAAUGUUAUCACGGGAGACACACGGCGGGUGCUAACGUCCGUCGUGAAGAGGGAAACAACCCAGACCGCCAGCUAAGGUCCCAAAGUCAUGGUUAAGUGGGAAACGAUGUGGGAAGGCCCAGACAGCCAGGAUGUUGGCUUAGAAGCAGCCAUCAUUUAAAGAAAGCGUAAUAGCUCACUGGUCGAGUCGGCCUGCGCGGAAGAUGUAACGGGGCUAAACCAUGCACCGAAGCUGCGGCAGCGACACUGUGUGUUGUUGGGUAGGGGAGCGUUCUGUAAGCCUGUGAAGGUGGCCUGUGAGGGUUGCUGGAGGUAUCAGAAGUGCGAAUGCUGACAUAAGUAACGAUAAAGCGGGUGAAAAGCCCGCUCGCCGGAAGACCAAGGGUUCCUGUCCAACGUUAAUCGGGGCAGGGUGAGUCGACCCCUAAGGCGAGGCCGAAAGGCGUAGUCGAUGGGAAACAGGUUAAUAUUCCUGUACUUGGUGUUACUGCGAAGGGGGGACGGAGAAGGCUAUGUUGGCCGGGCGACGGUUGUCCCGGUUUAAGCGUGUAGGUGUGUGUUCCAGGUAAAUCCGGUUCACUUUAACACUGAGGCGUGAUGACGAGGCACUACGGUGCUGAAGCAACAAAUGCCCUGCUUCCAGGAAAAGCCUCUAAGCAUCAGGUAACAUCAAAUCGUACCCCAAACCGACACAGGUGGUCAGGUAGAGAAUACCAAGGCGCUUGAGAGAACUCGGGUGAAGGAACUAGGCAAAAUGGUGCCGUAACUUCGGGAGAAGGCACGCUGACACGUAGGUGAAGUGAUUUACUCAUGGAGCUGAAGUCAGUCGAAGAUACCAGCUGGCUGCAACUGUUUAUUAAAAACACAGCACUGUGCAAACACGAAAGUGGACGUAUACGGUGUGACGCCUGCCCGGUGCCGGAAGGUUAAUUGAUGGGGUCAGCGCAAGCGAAGCUCCUGAUCGAAGCCCCGGUAAACGGCGGCCGUAACUAUAACGGUCCUAAGGUAGCGAAAUUCCUUGUCGGGUAAGUUCCGACCUGCACGAAUGGCGUAAUGAUGGCCAGGCUGUCUCCACCCGAGACUCAGUGAAAUUGAACUCGCUGUGAAGAUGCAGUGUACCCGCGGCAAGACGGAAAGACCCCGUGAACCUUUACUAUAGCUUGACACUGAACAUUGAGCCUUGAUGUGUAGGAUAGGUGGGAGGCUUUGAAGCGUGGACGCCAGUCUGCGUGGAGCCGACCUUGAAAUACCACCCUUUAAUGUUUGAUGUUCUAACGUGGACCCGUAAUCCGGGUUGCGGACAGUGUCUGGUGGGUAGUUUGACUGGGGCGGUCUCCUCCUAAAGAGUAACGGAGGAGCACGAAGGUUGGCUAAUCCUGGUCGGACAUCAGGAGGUUAGUGCAAUGGCAUAAGCCAGCUUGACUGCGAGCGUGACGGCGCGAGCAGGUGCGAAAGCAGGUCAUAGUGAUCCGGUGGUUCUGAAUGGAAGGGCCAUCGCUCAACGGAUAAAAGGUACUCCGGGGAUAACAGGCUGAUACCGCCCAAGAGUUCAUAUCGACGGCGGUGUUUGGCACCUCGAUGUCGGCUCAUCACAUCCUGGGGCUGAAGUAGGUCCCAAGGGUAUGGCUGUUCGCCAUUUAAAGUGGUACGCGAGCUGGGUUUAGAACGUCGUGAGACAGUUCGGUCCCUAUCUGCCGUGGGCGCUGGAGAACUGAGGGGGGCUGCUCCUAGUACGAGAGGACCGGAGUGGACGCAUCACUGGUGUUCGGGUUGUCAUGCCAAUGGCACUGCCCGGUAGCUAAAUGCGGAAGAGAUAAGUGCUGAAAGCAUCUAAGCACGAAACUUGCCCCGAGAUGAGUUCUCCCUGAGACUUAAAGUCUCCUGAAGGAACGUUGAAGACGACGACGUUGAUAGGCCGGGUGUGUAAGCGCAGCGAUGCGUUGAGCUAACCGGUACUAAUGAACCGUGAGGCUUAACCUU